UGCAGUAGUGGUGAUGCUCCUGCUAUUCCAAGUCGGCCGGAACGUCCAAGUACAGCACGCUGUACUCAGGGUCCAUUUACAGACUGUGAUCCAUUGCUGAUCAAUUCAAGCUGUCGUGGUACGGUAUCACAGCGGUCCACCAGAGAGGUGCCAAGUCUGUUUGAGACUACUGUCCCUUCUGUCCUACAUGAACCAGCAGGUCACCAGCACUCUGCCUCGUUUCUGCACACAUACAUAGAGCAGUCUCCCUGCCUGUCACCAUCUGUAACUCCCUUCAGUGAUUCUCAAAAUGAAUCAACUGGCCCUCCAUCUCCCAGUGUUCUGCAAAAGCUGCACCAAGCUAUCUUGA